AUGUGGAAGAUCCCAUAUGCGAAUGAGGUCCCGCCAGACCUUGAGAUUCUGAUUCGACACCUUGAAGCAGUGGUAGCUCGUCUGGGCGGAAAAGGUGGUCUUGCCACUUCCCACACAUCGGCACCCGCGCCGGUGCAAGUGUCAUCUCUGUUGGAGAAACUCGAUGCAACUCAUGCGGGGAUCACUCAAGGACUUUGCCGCCUCGAGAAGGAAAGGCCGCACCUAGAGGGGUGCCUUGCCAACCUCGCCUCCAUCUGCAACAGACAAAAGAAGUUGGCCGAAGAACAUCGGAUGCUUGUCGGCAAACAUCAGCAGCUUGCCGAGGAGUACAAGGCCUUCUGCGAGAAGGAAACCGAGAUGGUGGCACUGGCUGAAAAGCGCACAUGCGUCCUAGCUGACAUGAUGACUUCUAGCUCCCGCCAUCUUGAAGCUCAUGAGGAUGCAGUCCGGAGUUCGUCACAGGUGGUCGAGUCAUACACAAGACGCCGUGCGGAGGCGGCUGCCUUCCUGGCCGCCGGCGGAACGCUUCCGAAGAUCGCGACGAUCCUAGCAUAUAAAGCUCCUGAGUGA
rnacentral:rRNA from 1 species